rnacentral:rRNA from 1 species
AGCUCCAGUAGCGUAUAUUAAAGUUGUUGCAUUUAAAAAGCUCGUAGUUGAUGAUUCGCUUCCUACGCUUGUGCGCUACUGCGCUGCAGGAGUGGAGAGCUGAUAUUUGGUGGUAACACCACGUACACCGUGAAUAAAUUAGAGUGAUCCAAACAGGUUUUGCCUGAAUGCUUCAGCAUGGUAUGGGUUCUUGACGACGUCGGCUUUUUGCUUCUUGCUUGGGGCUCGUACGGAGUAAAGAUUAAUAGAGAUGGAUGAUGGAAUUCGUAUUGAGUUGCUAGAGGUGAAAUUCUUGGACCAACUCAAGACGACCUGAAGCGAAAGCUUUUUCCACAGAUGCUCUUA